UACGAAGGGGGCUAGCGUUGUUCGGAAUUACUGGGCGUAAAGCGUGCGCAGGCGGUGAUGUAAGACAGUUGUGAAAUCCCCGGGCUCAACCUGGGAACUGCAUCUGUGACUGCAUCGCUGGAGUACGGCAGAGGGGGAUGGAAUUCCGCGUGUAGCAGUGAAAUGCGUAGAUAUGCGGAGGAACACCGAUGGCGAAGGCAAUCCCCUGGGCCUGUACUGACGCUCAUGCACGAAAGCGUGGGGAGCAAACAGG
rnacentral:rRNA from 1 species